rnacentral:rRNA from 1 species
GACGUAGGUGGCAAGCGUUGUCCGGAAUUAUUGGGCGUAAAGCGCGCGCAGGUGGUUUCUUAAGUCUGAUGUGAAAGCCCACGGCUCAACCGUGGAGGGUCAUUGGAAACUGGGGAACUUGAGUGCAGAAGAGGAAAGUGGAAUUCCAAGUGUAGCGGUGAAAUGCGUAGAGAUUUGGAGGAACACCAGUGGCGAAGGCGACUUUCUGGUCUGUAACUGACACUGAGGCGCGAAAGCGUGGGGAGCGAACAGG